UCUCCGUCCUCACGUCGCUCCAGCCUGCAGAGUUUUCCGUCCUGUGUCAGGAUAACAUCGUAAACGAGGACCACCUGACGGUAAGACCGGACUAAAUGGAAGCAGCGGAGGAAACUCUCACUUACCGAGAUGACACCGGUCUUCACAGGAAGCUGCUCCCAGAGGACAAGGAAAAGGACAACACGGACAGUAAAGUCCACGCCACCGAGACGACAAAAAGCGACGAGUCCAACUAUGUGGAUCUGGACAUGAAACCGGACGGCGCAAAAACAGUGAAAGUUACUUUCACCGGCGAGGGAAACCAGCUGUCUGUCAUCAAAUGCGACGGCUCAAAGCAAGGGGCAGAGGACAAGCGGGCCACCGUCUCCGAGCCCGUCUCGGGUGAGCCUCCGAUGGAAACUCUGACCAAAUUCCCAACACCGAUCAGGGUUCAGAGAAUGACAAGACGCGCCAGGCCGAGCUCGACCCGAGUGACUGCAGCGAACAUGUGUGCAGCGAGAGCGAUGAGCUCCAGUACACGGACAUGUAUCUGAACAGUAAGACGGAGUCCGAUGACGGGGCCAGCGCGGUGCUGUCGGACCACUGCGGCUCCGACACCAGUGGAGGACGAGUCCCACUAUAUCACGACGCACGAAAUCCAGCUGACCGAGCUCGACCACGACGUAGACUACGACCUGGGGCGAGGGACCAUGCUGGGAUUUUGAAGACGACAACCUGGUUUAUUCCUUUGUGGAUUACGCCUCUUUUGAAAGUGAUGAGACGCAGGAGGGGACUCUGAUACUGGAGGGCAGGAGCCAGGCGAAAGUGCAGUCUAAUCUUGGUGGAGCGGUUGUCAGCACCGAGCAGGAGGAGAGUGAUCUCUGUGACUCGGACAAAUGCGCCAGCUCAGAUGAAAGCGUGUGUAAAAACCAGAGCAGGGACGCGAACGCUGGGAAAAUUCAUUUAUCGAUAAAAACCUCCUCUAGGGCAGUGAACGAGCCCGUCGGUAUCCUCGACAACAACACCUGCGGUUACACAAAACAGUUCGGAGACAGGAGCCACUUCUCCUUUGUGAGCUCUGGCGCCAGAGCGGGGCCCUUGUGCGAUAGAGCACAGUAUUUCAUCCCAGCUCCGGGCCGUCAGCACCUCGCAACCAAACUGAGACGGAAAGAUAUUAAUGAGUAUUCCAGCGGAGCGUCCAGCUCCAUCAGUGAGCUGGACGACGCCGAUAAAGAGGUGCGUAAUUUAACCGCCAAGUCUUUCCGAAGCUUGGCAUGUCCAUACUUCGAUGCCAUUAAUCUUAGCACCUCUAGUGAGUCCUCCAUGUCGGAAUAUGGGCUAAAUAAAUGGUCAGCCUAUGUGGACUGGAAUUAUGGAAACAUAUCGCGGGGAGGAGAGCGGAGCGUAAUUGCGCACAAGACUUCCAGCGCAACGGUGGCAAUGAGUAAGACUGUGGACAGUAAGAGGCAUGGUAAGUCCAUAACCAAAGCUCCACAAACCAAAAUGUACGCACUGCACAGGAGAACAGCUUCUCCACAAGCUUCCUCCUCCAGCAAGAAGAUCGAACUGAAAGAUCCGACUCGGCCAAAGCAGCGUGGAGUGACGCUGAAUUUCCGCUGUAAUGUUGAGGCACCUGAAGGAGCCAGGCGUCCGAAAUGCUCCAAGAACACGCGAUCCAAUGAGGUUACCGGGACUGUGCUGGCCAGAUCGGGGUGUGAGAUGCAGUAUCAUCACACAGAGGGCAUGGGGGACACGCACAAAAGAGCGAUUUUUGCAUCGAGCCUGUUGAAAAAUGUGAUUUCCAAAAAGAUGCAGUUUGAACAGGAGCGUAAAAUGGAGAGGGGUGAAAUUUGUGACACGUACCCUGCACUCUCCCCGGAGAGGAGUCUGGGAAGAGGCUUUCAAAGACAAAGCUCAGAAUCAGGUUCGGGAUUCACAGUUAAUUCUGCUGAUGAUCAACGCCAGGAGGGCAGCAGACCCAGUUCCUGUGAGCCUGGGGAGGAGCAGAGGAGCAGCAAAGCAACAGGUGACUCAGAGAAGGGACAACAUGAGCCUCCCAGAGCACCGCUCAGCCACGGUCAAAGUAGUGCAUUUAACUCACUGAAAGCAGACGAGCCAGAGCCUGUAAAAGAGGCUGAGCCCAUCACAGCUGUAAGUGAAGCACAGACCACAGCAAAGGAAAAAUUAGACACCAGCAGCAUGCUGACAAAACUGCUUUUUGUUCCAAGCUGCCAGCUUCUUUCAAAAGAGAAAGGUUUUACAGAAGACUUAACAAGCCACACACCUGUCACAGGUACACCUGCUGGCCCUCAGAAAUGUGAAAAAGAGUUCAAAACAGGCAAUAAUGGAAAAAUAGUGAGCAAAGAAGAGAACGAGAAGGGGGGGAAAGCGCCUGAAAUAAAGAUAUGCCUUAGAAGUGUGAAAGAAAAUAAAGGCUGUACACUGAAUAUUGCCAACCUGUUAACCCCUAAAAUAAGUUACAACACUGUCAACACGUUCAGGGCAGCAGGUGAUGCUAAAUGCCACAUUUUAUCUGCAACAGAUAAAAUUCCAAACUUCACAGUUAGAGACAUAAGAGACACCAAAUGCAAGUUUCAGACACCGAUAUAUCACGUCAGGGAUGUGCGUAAAUUGGUCAAAAGCUCAUAUCGCUUUGUUUCACUGGAUAACAGUGACAGUAAAUGUUCUACAGCAGCUGAUAAACACGAGGAAAAGGUGAAAAAAGAACCAGUUAAACAUUUAUUACCAUCUCCUAUUGUGAUUAAAUGUCACUCUGUUAAAACAAAUGUUAAACCACAGACAGCUGAAGCAUCGCAGAAACAAGCAGAGGCAGGCGUCCCGCCAUCAGAAACGUCCCAAAGCGAAAACAUGAACAUCACACUAUACGACUAGCAGGGCACCACCUGCCGUAUCCAAACAGCUCCAUCCUGACCAAUCAGAAAUCCAACUCAAUACUGAAACCAAAGUGACAAAACAGAGGCAGGAUAAGUUCACAGGUGAGACAGCUGAGAGGAGAAAUGAGCCUGCAAUACCAAAACAGGCUGCGCUAGAGAAGCUUAAAGCUGCCGUCAAAACGAUGGAGCAGCUUUAUGUUUUUGAUAGAAAUGAAUGGAAGCGUAAAACUCAAGCUCCACAGCCCAUCACAGACAGCCACGUUCUUUCGCUCAUUGCCAGAGAGGAGCAGGGGGCAGAGGAGCCGGAGACAACUAACACUGACCGGAUUCCCCAGUCUUUGAUAAAUGCCACAGAAACAGGCAAAGCGCAGGAAGGUACAGGAGCUGUCAAUAUCAUACAUGUCCCAUAUUACAAUGACACCUUUAAAACACAAGCGCAGCAAAGUAAAACAUUCAGUAACAAAAGUGUCCUUCAUUUUGGCAACGUAAUAAGCACGUGUCAGCAUUAGUUCAGUAGUAACUCUGUUCCGCAAAGCUCUGUGCUGCAAACAUCAGCCACUAUGAAAAGCUCCAAGACACCGGCUGCUCCACUGUCAGUGAAAAUAGAGCCCCCGAAACACAGCCAGGUGGAGCUGGGAAAGGUCAGAAUCAGUCCCGCUAAUCCCACUGUCACACAGGGCUGCACAGACUCCGAGAACUAUUUAACCAUCCCGGGGCUGGGGUAUACGAAUGAAAUCAAACUGCUGAAUCGAGAGCCCGUUUCGAGGGAGGGGAGUUCGAACAUCAGCCGAGCCCAGGCAGGUGACAGCAAGACACCUGAGCUGAAAAGGUCACCGUUAAUCAUGGAGUACCCGGCCGCGAGCAUCUACCACCACUCAACAACAGGGCCACAAGCCCAGCAGCAGGUGUUGCGCUUCUCUCCCUCUGUCCCAACUGUGUCACCCACCUCUUCUACAGGAGAGACAGUCCCACAGACCCAGCGCAAGAUGCUUUUGGACCCCACUACAGGACAUUAUUACCUGGUGGACACUCCCAUACAGGCCACCACUAAGCGACUGUUCGACCCCGAGACAGGCCAGUACGUGGAUGUACCCAUGCCCCAUUCGCCCGUGUCGCCUGUCACCCCUGUCACCCCCGUGCCUCUCUCUUUGUCCCCCCUGGCACUGAGCCCAGGAGCGUACGCACCCACCUACAUGAUCUACCCGAACUUCAUCCCCUCGCCCACCCUCCCAGCUCAGGCGGUGUUGCCACAGUCUCCGUGUCACUCUGAGGAUGCAGGUGGAGACAAGCUAAAAAAUGCCAGAAGUCCCAGGCCGGAAACGAACACGGCGGGGGCAGAGAGCGUGUAUUACAGCGCAACAGGAGAGGGGCCACAGGGGCCACUGCAACUACCUGUGAGUUUGGGACAUGUGACCACCAGAGGAGGCGCGACAAGCUCCGAGAGGAAGCCAGUCAUCAGCAUCACGUCGCAACAAGGUCCAAGAAUCAUCGCCCCUCCUUCCUUUGAUGGAACAACAAUGAGCUUUGUAGUGGAGCAUCGGUGACCAAGAAAAUAUCUCAUCAUACAUACAUCUCCCCUGAAGUAUCUGCCUUCAUUCACCGUAAGCGCAGUUUUCACCACUGUCAAUCCUCCCUGCAAUCUACUCCCCCCGGACAACUUUCAACAACAACAAUUUAUACCCCCAUCUGUUGUGUUGUUUAUCCUUGCAGCAGACAUUACUGUAUUCUCUAUGCAUCACAGCACUUUGUAGGGUAAAUGCAUUCAGCCAUGUCCUCUGGCUGAUGCUCUGCCAUAUUGCCAUAUGAAUCAGCUUUGAAAUACUUUCCAUUCAGCUGCUGUCUAGAAAACUUAUCUCUGUUGAAAUGCUGUUUGGACCCCGCAACACAGUCUAUUCAAAAGGAAACAAGGCAGGUCUUCUGUUACAGUUCAGUGUCACUCAUCAUCAGCCAAACCACCAUUUUUAAAAUCACAUGUGUAAUGUUAGCAUGUCGUCAAAGCAAGUCUAUGUAACUUUUUUCUUAUAAGAAAUAAAACCCAUUUUCCUUGUACCAAUGAAAAUCAGUAUACUCUGGAUUUGCUGCUGCAACAUUGCCAGUACAACAGUAUUAGCUAAUGUUAGCAAGCUCAUUACCAAGUCAACUGCCUGACAUUAUGCAUCUAGUUUAGUCACUGUUACACUACAUUUUAGGGAUGUUAUAGAUAAACAUUUCAGUGGUUUAAGACAAAGAAUAUGGAUUUCUCAAGAGAGGUGGAUACAUCCCAGUGAGUUGGCCCUGCUACCAGUUUAUCCUAGUGGCCAAAUGUGGUACUGCAACAAAAAUACUUUGCUGCUCAAUUAUGGUAUUUUCAUGGUAAUGCACCAUUAUUAAGGAAACAUAAAACUCAUCCUGCAUCUCAAGGAAACUCUGGAACUUUGAAUCAGAGUGGGUCAUGUUGAAAGCCUCCACUGCAGAAGUGACUCUGGAGUUGUGGCUAGAAGGUCACCAGUGCUUGUGAUGGUGGCAACCAAAGGAGCCAGUGGUGGACACCAGUGGUAAAGGAGGCUUUCAAGCUGAGGCUUGGUUGGCCCAAGGGACU